AACGAACGCUGGCGGCAGGCUUAACACAUGCAAGUCGAACGGCUGUAGCAAUACAGCAGUGGCAGACGGGUGAGUAACACGUGGGAACCUUCCUAGGGGUACGGAACAACUCAGGGAAACUUGAGCUAAUACCGUAUACGUCCGUAAGGAGAAAGAUUCAUCGCCCCUAGACGGGCCCGCGUCGGAUUAGGUAGUUGGUGGGGUAACGGCCUACCAAGCCUGCGAUCCGUAGCUGAUCUGAGAGGAUGAUCAGCCACACUGGGACUGAGACACGGCCCAGACUCCUACGGGAGGCAGCAGUGGGGAAUUGU
rnacentral:rRNA from 1 species